GGGGAAUUAGCUCAAUGGUAGGGUGCUUGCUUAUCAUGCGAGAGGUAGUGGGGUCCAUGCCCACAUCCUCCA
rnacentral:tRNA from 1 species